rnacentral:rRNA from 1 species
AAUAGAUACCCGGGUAGUCCACGCCCUAAACGAUGUCUACUAGUUGUCGGAGGGUAACUCCUUCGGUAACGCAGCUAACGCGUGAAGUAGACCGCCUGGGGAGUACGGUCGCAAGAUUAAAACUCAAAGGAAUUGACGGGGACCCGCACAAGCGGUGGAUGAUGUGGAUUAAUUCGAUGCAACGCGAAAAACCUUACCUACCCUUGACAUGCCACUAACGAAGCAGAGAUGCAUUAGGUGCCCGAAAGGGAAAGUGGACACAGGUGCUGCAUGGCUGUCGUCAGCUCGUGUCGUGAGAUGUUGGGUUAAGUCCCGCAACGAGCGCAACCCUUGCCAAUAGUUGCUACGAAAGGGCACUCUAUUGGGACUGCCGGUGACAAACCGGAGGAAGGUGGGGAUGACGUCAAGUCCUCAUGGCCCUUAUGGGUAGGGCUUCACACGUCAUACAAUGGCUGGUACAGAGGGUUGCCAACCCGCGAGGGGGGAGCCAAUCCCACAAAACCAGUCGUAGUCCGGAUUGCAGUCUGCAACUCGA